rnacentral:rRNA from 1 species
UAUGGCUCAGGACGAACGCUGGCGGCGUGCUUAACACAUGCAAGUCGAACGGUGAACCUUGGAGCUUGCUUCGAGGGGAUCAGUGGCGAACGGGUGAGUAACACGUGAGUAACCUGCCCCGGACUCUGGAAUAAGCGCUGGAAACGGCGUCUAAUACCGGAUACGAGACGCAACCGCAUGGUUAGUGUCUGGAAAGUUUUUCGGUCUGGGAUGGACUCGCGGCCUAUCAGCUUGUUGGUGAGGUAAUGGCUCACCAAGGCGACGACGGGUAGCCGGCCUGAGAGGGCGACCGGCCACACUGGGACUGAGACACGGCCCAGACUCCUACGGGAGGCAGCAGUGGGGAAUAUUGCACAAUGGGCGAAAGCCUGAUGCAGCGACGCCGCGUGAGGGAUGACGGCCUUCGGGUUGUAAACCUCUUUCAGCAGGGAAGAAGCGAAAGUGACGGUACCUGCAGAAGAAGCACCGGCUAACUACGUGCCAGCAGCCGCGGUAAUACGUAGGGUGCGAGCGUUGUCCGGAAUUAUUGGGCGUAAAGAGCUUGUAGGCGGUUUGUCGCGUCUGCUGUGAAAAUCCGGGGCUCAACCCCGGACUUGCAGUGGGUACGGGCAGACUAGAGUGUGGUAGGGGAGACUGGAAUUCCUGGUGUAGCGGUGAAAUGCGCAGAUAUCAGGAGGAACACCGAUGGCGAAGGCAGGUCUCUGGGCCACUACUGACGCUGAGAAGCGAAAGCAUGGGGAGCGAACAGGAUUAGAUACCCUGGUAGUCCAUGCCGUAAACGUUGGGCGCUAGGUGUGGGACUCAUUCCACGAGUUCCGUGCCGCAGCUAACGCAUAAGCG